CGCGUAAUCCAUGUGCGCAGCUGAUGAGCCUGCCGCGUGAGUGAUGAAGGCCUUCGGGUUGUAAAGUUCUUUUGAUCGGGAGGAAAAAGUCUUUGCGUAUAUCAUUUGCCCUUGACGUUACCGACCCAGCAAGCCCCGGCUAACUCCAUGCCAGCAGCCGCGGUAAUA
rnacentral:rRNA from 1 species